rnacentral:rRNA from 1 species
CUGGCUCAGAUUGAACGCUGGCGGCAUGCCUUACACAUGCAAGUCGAACGGCAUCGCGGGAAAGCUUGCUUUCCUGGCGGCGAGUGGCGAACGGGUGAGUAACACAUCGGAACGUACCGGCUAGUGGGGGAUAACCCGUCGAAAGACGGGCUAAUACCGCAUACGCUCUUCGGAGGAAAGCAGGGGACCUUUGGGCCUUGCGCUAGUCGAGCGGCCGAUGUCCGAUUAGCUAGUUGGUGGGGUAAAGGCCUACCAAGGCGACGAUCGGUAGCGGGUCUGAGAGGACGAUCCGCCACACUGGGACUGAGACACGGCCCAGACUCCUACGGGAGGCAGCAGUGGGGAAUCUUGGACAAUGGGGGCAACCCUGAUCCAGCAAUGCCGCGUGGGUGAAGAAGGCCUUCGGGUUGUAAAGCCCUUUCGGCAGGGAAGAAAUCGGCGGGGCGAAU